AGUGAACGCUGGCGGUAGGCCUAACACAUGCAAGUCGAACGGCAGCACAGUAAGAGCUUGCUCUUACGGGUGGCGAGUGGCGGACGGGUGAGGCAUACAUCGGAAUCUACUUUUUCGUGGGGGAUAACGUAGGGAAACUUCCGCUACUACCGCAUACGACCUACGGGUUAAAGCAGGGGAUCUUCGGACCUUGCGCGAUUGAAUGAGACGAUGUCGGAUUAGCUAGUUGGCGGGGUAAAGGCCCACCAAGGCGACGAUCCGUAGCUGGUCUGAGAGGAUGAUCAGCCACACUGGAACUGAGACACGGUCCAGACUCCUACGGGAGGCAGCAGUGGGGAAUAUUGGACAAUGGGCGCAAGCCUGAUCCAGCCAUACCGCGUGGGUGAAGAAGGCCUUCGGGUUGUAAAGCCCUUUUGUUGGGAAAGAAAAGCAGCAGGUUAAUACCCCGCUGUUCUGACGGUACCCAAAGAAUAAGCACCGGCUAACUUCGUG
rnacentral:rRNA from 1 species